GGGGGUUUUUGAAGAGCAAAAGUGUGAUUUUCGAGUUAAAUGGGGGAUUUUCAAGAGAAAAUGGUGAUUUGGGGAUGGGGUAUUUUUGAAGAGAUAAAGCAUGAUUUGGGGGUAAAUGCGGGAUUUUCCAAGAGAAAAGGUGAGAUUUUGGGGUUAAAUGGGGGAUUGUUGAAGAGAAAAUGUGUGAUUUUCAGUUAAAUCGCGGGCAUCUCUAAGAGAAAAAUGCUGAUGUUUGCAUUAAAUGUGUGAUUUUCCAGGGUUAC
rnacentral:lncRNA from 7 species